GCGUCUGAUUAGCUGUUGGCGGGUAACGGCCCACCAAGGGCAACGAUCAGUAGGGGUUCUGAGAGGAAGGUCCCCCACAUUGGAACUGAGACACGGUCAAACUCCUACGGGAGGCAGCAGUGAGGAAUAUUGGUCAAUGGGCGAGAGCCUGAACCAGCCAAGUAGCGUGCAGGACGACGGCCCGUAUAGGGUUGUAAACUUGCUUUUGGUACGGGAAUAAAGUCAUCCACGUGUGGAUGUUUGCAUGUACCGUAAGAAUAAGGACCGGCUAAUUCCGUGCC
rnacentral:rRNA from 1 species